CAAUAGCGUAUAUUAAAGUUGUUGCAGUUAAAAAGCUCGUAGUUGGACUUCUGAUGUGGAGGGACGGUCCGCCUCACGGUGAGCACUGAUUCUUCACGUCUUCCUCUCGUAGUCUUUUGGCGCACUUAGUUGGGUGCCUUUAGAAUAUGGGACCUUACUUUGAAAAAAUUAGAGUGUUCAAAGCAGGCAAUCGCUUGAAUACAUUAGCAUGGAAUAAUAGAAUAGGACUUUGGUUCUAUUUUGUUGGUUUCUAGUACUGAAGUAAUGAUUGAUAGGGAUAGUUGGGGGUGCUAGUAUUGGCCGGCCAGAGGUGAAAUUCUUGGAUUCGGUCAAGACUAACUUAUGCGAAAGCAUUCACCAAGGAUGUCUUCUUUAAUCAAGAACGAAAGUUGGGGGAUCGAAGAUGAUUAGAUACCA
rnacentral:rRNA from 1 species